CCUACGGGAGGCAGCAGUGGGGAAUAUUGCACAAUGGGGGAAACCCUGAUGCAGCGACGCCGCGUGGGUGACGAAGUAUUUCGGUAUGUAAAGCCCUAUCAGCAGGGAAGAAGAUGACAGUACCUGACUAAGAAGCCCCGGCUAACUACGUGCCAGCAGCCGCGGUAAUACGUAGGGGGCAAGCGUUAUCCGGAUUUACUGGGUGUAAAGGGAGCGUAGGUGGCAUGGCAAGCCAGAAGUGAAAACCCGGGGCUUAACCCCGCUCCGCCGUUGAAACUGGCGUUCUUGAGUGGGCGAGAAGUAUGCGGAAUGCGUGGUGUAGCGGUGAAAUGCAUAGAUAUCACGCAGAACUCCGAUUGCGAAGGCAGCAUACCGGCGCCCAACUGACGCUGAAGCACGAAAGCGUGGGUAUCGAACAGGAUUAGAUACCCGUGUAGUC
rnacentral:rRNA from 1 species